AUGCUCUAAAGGGCCGGAUUUGGCCCCCUGGCCUUGAGUUUGACACAUGCUCUAGACUUCUACUCGUCUGUGUGGACCACUUAUACAGAUGAAACAAGAGCUAAAUCUAUUGCACCAUAUAGAUCUCUUUGCAAAUCAUAUUUAUUAGUAUGUAAAUGUGAUGACGUCUGUCUGUGUGAUUUAUUUAUGGAAUCAUCUAUUUAAUCAUGGUUUGACUUUAAGGGAUUUUGUACGUAAGUAAGUCAAAAACUCUUUAAUUUAAAUUGAAAUGCUAUUUUUCUAUGCCAUGCUCAUUUUUACAUCUAGUUUUAAUUAUUUGAACACGACAAUGUUCAAAAAUAGACGAAAAGUUUAAUUAGUUCAGUUCAUUUUACAGUGACUUUCUUUAUGAUUUCGUUCUGUAUCAAUGAAGGACUAUCCUAUGUUAUUUGUAGCUUGUUCCUGCUUCAGGUUUGCUACAGUAGCUUAGCGGCUUUUGCCAAUUUCAACUCUUUUUCAGACAGUCAAGCAUCAUCUAUUGCAGACAUGGGUAAAUAAAGCCAUAAAUGAUCAUUAUUGCUCCUUCUGCUGCCUUGCCCAACCACAUACUGUACCUAUUCUCCAUGUGAUAGAAACUGUUGUACGGCCUGUUGUGGUAGUGAGCAUGUUUACAAUAACCAAGACUACUUUACAUCAGUAACUGUGCCAAAUUAUAUAAAUAUAUAGUACAUAUAUAGUACAUAUAUGUACAUAUAUAGUACAUAUAUAUAGUACAUAUAUAUAUAUAUAUAUAUAUAUAUAUAUAUAUGUUGACUUGCACUUUGGUGUUGAUGUCACAUAUUACAGUGUGCGUGAACGUUUCAGGUGUUUUAGGUGAUAUAGAGCAUGAAGCGUUCCACAUUACUCAGAUGGGGAAGUAAAAUGCUGCUAACAUCCAGUUAUUCUAUGGAAACGUAUUGUAUUCACUUGAUUAAAGAAAAACAUUCUGAAUGAUUUUUUUUUUGUUUGUUUGUUUUUUGGGGUAUUUUGGGGGUAUUUUUUCUGUUAUUCAGAG
rnacentral:lncRNA from 1 species